rnacentral:rRNA from 1 species
UUGCCCUAGUAACGGCGAGUGAAGCGGCAACAGCUCAAAUUUGAAAUCUGGCUCUUUUAGAGUCCGAGUUGUAAUUUGCAGAGGGCGCUUUGGCUUUGGCAGCGGUCCAAGUUCCUUGGAACAGGACGUCACAGAGGGUGAGAAUCCCGUACGUGGUCGCUGGCUAUUGCCGUGUAAAGCCCCUUCGACGAGUCGAGUUGUUUGGGAAUGCAGCUCUAAAUGGGAGGUACAUUUCUUCUAAAGCUAAAUAUUGGCCAGAGACCGAUAGCGCACAAGUAGAGUGAUCGAAAGAUGAAAAGCACUUUGGAAAGAGAGUCAAACAGCACGUGAAAUUGUUGAAAGGGAAGCGCUUGCAGCCAGACUUGCUUGCAGUUGCUCAUCCGGGUUUUUACCCGGUGCACUCUUCUGUAGGCAGGCCAGCAUCAGUUUGGGCGGUAGGAUAAAGGUCUCUGUCACGUACCUCCUUUCGGGGAGGCCUUAUAGGGGAGACGACAUACUACCAGCCUGGACUGAGGUCCGCGCAUCUGCUAGGAUGCUGGCGUAAUGGCUGUAAGCGGCCCGUCUUGAAACACGGACCAAGGAGUCUAACAUCUAUGCGAGUGUUUGGGUGUCAAGCCCGAGCGCGUAAUGAAAGUGAACGGAGGUGGGAACCCGCAAGGGUGCACCAUCGACCGAUCCUGAUGUCUUCGGAAGGAUUUGAGUAAGAGCAUGGCUGUUGGGACCCGAAAGAUGGUGAACUAUGCUUGAAUAGGGUGAAGCCAGAGGAAACUCUGGUGGAGGCUCGCAGCGGUUCUGACGUGCAAAUCGAUCGUCAAAUUUGGGCAUAGGGGCGAAAGACUAAUCG